rnacentral:rRNA from 1 species
CUACGGGCCGCUGCAGUCGAGGAUCAUUCGCAAUGCGCGAAAGCGUGACGAUGCGACGCUGCGUGGAGGAUGACGGCCUUCGGGUUGUAAACUCCUGUCAUGAAGGAAAAGACGCUCUGUUCUUAAUACGAACGGAGCCCGAUGGUACUUCAAGAGGAAGCCACGGCUAACUCUGUGCCAGCAGCCGCGGUAAUACAGAGGUGGCGAGCGUUGUUCGGAUUUACUGGGCGUAAAGCGUACGUAGGCGGCUUGGUAUGUCGGAUGUGAAAGCCCGGGGCUCAACCCCGGAAGUGCAUCCGAAACUGCCGAGCUAGAGUACAGGAGGGGAGAGCGGAAUUCAUGGUGUAGCGGUGAAAUGCGUUGAUAUCAUGAAGAACACCGGUGGCGAAGGCGGCUCUCUGGAAUGUAACUGACGCUGAGGUACGAAAGCGUGGGUAGCAAACAGGAUUAGAUACCCGCGUAGUC